rnacentral:lncRNA from 1 species
CUAAAGUGAACCACAGUCGCGCCACUGCACUCCAGCCUGGAUGAAAGUGAGACUCUGUCUCAAAAAAAAAAAAAAAAAAAAAAAAAAAAAAAAAAGAAGAAAUGGAAUUGAGAGAAAUAUUAAACGUUUCAGCAAGAGGCCACAGAAAUUGGUAACCCACAAGAUUUAGAAGAGAAGAAGAAGAGAGAUGAUGCCAAGAUCUCAGACCUGGAUGACUGGAAGAAUGAUGGUGUCAUUGACAAAAAUAGGAAUACGUGAAAGGGAAGCUGGCUUCAUGUUGAGUUUGAGGUCAUAGGAGUAAAAACAGGUAGAGAUGCAGCAACUGAAAUAUGAAACUGAAAUUCAGGAAAGAGGUCAAGAGUGAAAUAGAAAAUUUGUAAGUCAUUCAAUAGGUUAAAGAUAUGAAAGUUGAGGGAUGAAUGAGUAGAGGUUAAAAAACAAUUUAUUAGUCUGAUUAAUUUGCCCUUUGAUAAGGACUGGAGAUUUUAGCAUUAAUAAAUUUUAUUUUGGUAACUGAGAAAUUAGAAUUGAUGAAAAUUGCCAUGCUAAAAAAAUGUAUAAUGCAGGUCUAAUAAAAUAAUUCAAAUAAUUCCAUCCUAUCCAUUCAAGGAAAAACUAAGGCUCUUUAGCAUAGACCCCAGGCAUAGGAAGACUCCAGUCAUUUUACCUUACCUUCAGAGGCACUUGUUUGUUUUGGAAAGGACCCUAGACUGAGAGUCAGAGAACCUGACUUCUGGUCUUAGAGCUACCAGUUAUCAGCUAGAGUGCUUUGCAGGAUAGGCCACAGUUUCCUCCUCUGUAAAAUAAGAGGGACUAAUUAGAAGUUAGUUGCAGGUUCCAGCUUUAAAACCAUGAAUGUAUUGCUUUAAAUUUGGAACACAUGGCUUAAGAGCAUCAAUAUUUUUAGCCACAUUGCCCUUGCUUCCCAUCCCUUUGCCUUCAUUCUGUUUUCCUCACAUAAUUAGGCCAAGAGAAUAACCAGCAGGAACAAUGAACACUAAAGAUUAGUUUCAGAAACAUGCUUAAAUGAUAAUCUAGUAGACAUUUUCUUGUCUUCCCAAAUAGGUUGCAAGCCCUUUGAGGUCACAUCUUAUAUUGUGUGGUAUCUGCAUAUGUAUUGUCCAUAGCUGAAAUAAAUAUAUAAUGAUUGUAUGAUA